rnacentral:rRNA from 1 species
UAACGCGUGGGAAUCUGCCUAUCAUCAGUGGGGAAUAACGACGGGAAACUGUCGCUAAUACCGACAUCGCCCUUAGGGGGAAGGAUUUAUCGCUGAUAGAUGAGCCCGCGUACGAUUAGCUAGUUGGUGAGGUAAUGGCUCACCAAGGCUACGAUCGUUAGCUGGUCUGAGAGGAUGAUCAGCCACACUGGGACUGAGACACGGCCCAGACUCCUACGGGAGGCAGCAGUGGGGAAUAUUGGACAAUGGGCGAAAGCCUGAUCCAGCAAUGCCGCGUGAGUGAUGAAGGCCUUAGGGUUGU